rnacentral:rRNA from 1 species
GACGAACGCUGGCGGCGUGCUUAACACAUGCAAGUCGAACGGUAAGGCCCUUCGGGGUACACGAGUGGCGAACGGGUGAGUAACACGUGGGUGAUCUGCCCUGCACUUCGGGAUAAGCCUGGGAAACUGGGUCUAAUACCGGAUAGGACCACUGCCUGCAUGGGUGGUGGUGGAAAGCUUUUGCGGUGUGGGAUGGGCCCGCGGCCUAUCAGCUUGUUGGUGGGGUGAUGGCCUACCAAGGCGACGACGGGUAGCCGGCCUGAGAGGGUGACCGGCCACACUGGGACUGAGACACGGCCCAGACUCCUACGGGAGGCAGCAGUGGGGAAUAUUGGACAAUGGGCGAAAGCCUGAUCCAGCAACGCCGCGUGAGGGAUGACGGCCUUCGGGUUGUAAACCUCUUUCAGUACCGACGAAGCGCAAGUGACGGUAGGUACAGAAGAAGCACCGGCCAACUACGUGCCAGCAGCCGCAGUAA